AUUUUAAUUUUUUAUUUUAUAAAAAAUGACUUUCUCUCUCUUACUUUACUCUUUCUCAAUCACCCACACGAUUUCAUCCUUCCAAUUUCUUCUUCACUCCUCAUUCUCAUCUAACAAUCUUCCCUUUCUUCUCCGAAGAGUCGCUGGCACCACCACCACCAUCGUCCCUCGUGCCCAGCUCGUGCCCGCCACCACCGCCGUCACUCCUCACUUUCUUCAAACACUGAUGUUGCUUUGGGGUUUUUUGCUUUGGGGUUGUCGACGAAAAGAAUGAUCCGUUUUCUAUGGCACCCCAAAAAGCACUUGAAAGUAUUGGAAAAACAUUGAGUGUACAGUAUGAGAGGUGGCAACCCAGGGCCCGUUAUAAAGUUCAGCUGGAUCCCACUGUGGAAGAGGUAAAAAAGCUUUGUAGUACAUGUCGCAAGUAUGCAAAGACUGAACGGGUUCUCUUCCAUUAUGUUUAAAUAUUAGUGUUGAUCCACCUGAUGUAAUUAAGAUUUCACCUUGUGCCAGAAUGGAGUGCUGGAUAGUGAUCUGGAUUCAUGGUUGAAGACACCUUCCAUUUACGUGUUCGACUGUUCUGCUGCUGGGAUGAUAGUCAAUGCCUUCACUGAGCUUCACGAUCCCUCUGGAUUAACGAGGGACUGCAUUUUGCUUGCAGCAUGUGAAUAACAUGAAACUCUUCCCCAAAGAGCUGAAUUUCCUGCAGAUGUUUUUACCUCUUGCCUUACAACACCAAUCAAGAUGGCCUUGAGAUGGUUAUUCGAGCUCGGUUGCUACAGUUCAGGAAGAGGAAUGUCAAGCCCUUGCUGCAUUUGGUGCCUGUUUCCAAUAUUAAUAAUUGUUUGAAGAAGCAUUUUCGAGACCUUUAAAAUGUCGUGAUCUUUGAAUUUAUAUAAUUCUGUUUGGUUGCAAUUAAUUUUACAAGCGUGUUUUCAUUGUUGGUGGAAUCAGACUUGAAUAAUAUGGGAUUUAUGUGCUUUAAGAUAUGAAUGGGAUUUAUUGUUGCUUUAAGAUAUGAAUGGGAUUUAUGUGCAAGUGCUAAUAGCAUUUUCAUUGUUGGUGGAAUCAGACUUGAAUAAUAUGGUUUCCUACGUAAUGUGACUUGUAGUUUCAA